rnacentral:rRNA from 1 species
GACGAACGCUGGCGGCGUGCUUAACACAUGCCAGUCGAACGGUAAGGCCUUUCGGGGUACACGAGUGGCGAACGGGUGAGUAACACGUGGGUGAUCUGCCCUGCACUUCGGGAUAAGCCCGGGAAACUGGGUCUAAUACCGGAUAGGACUGCGCGGUGCAUGCCGUGUGGUGGAAAGAUUUAUCGGUGCAGGAUGGGCCCGCGGCCUAUCAGCUUGUUGGUGGGGUAAUGGCCUACCAAGGCGACGACGGGUAGCCGGCCUGAGAGGGCGACCGGCCACACUGGGACUGAGACACGGCCCAGACUCCUACGGGAGGCAGCAGUGGGGAAUAUUGCACAAUGGGCGCAAGCCUGAUGCAGCGACGCCGCGUGAGGGAUGACGGCCUUCGGGUUGUAAACCUCUUUCAGCAGGGACGAAGCGUGAGUGACGGUACCUGCAGAAGAAGCACCGGCCAACUACGUG